GACGAACGCUGGCGGCGUGCUUAACACAUGCAAGUCGAACGGUGAAGGGGUCUGCUUUUGUGGGCCCUGGAUGAGUGGCGAACGGGUGAGUAACACGUGAGUAACCUUCCCCCUUCUUCUGGAUAACCGCAUGAAAGUGUGGCUAAUACGGGAUAUUCUGGGUCUGUCGCAUGAUGGGUCUGGGAAAGAUUGCGCCUUUGGGUGUUUUUGGUGGGGGAUGGGCUCGCGGCCUAUCAGCUUGUUGGUGGGGUGAUGGCCUACCAAGGCGGUGACGGGUAGCCGGCCUGAGAGGGUGGACGGUCACACUGGGACUGAGACACGGCCCAGACUCAUACGGGAGGCAGCAGUGGGGAAUAUUGCACAAUGGGAGCAAGCCUGAUGCAGCGACGCCGCGUGAGGGAUGGAGGCCUUCGGGUUGUAAACCUCUUUCGCCAGUGAAGCAGGCCUGCUCCUUGUGGGUGGGUUGACGGUAGCUGGAUAAGAAGCGCCGGCUAACUACGUG
rnacentral:rRNA from 1 species